rnacentral:rRNA from 1 species
AACGAAGCACUUUUACAGAUUUCUUCGGAAUGAAGUUUUAGUGACUGAGUGGCGGACGGGUGAGUAACGCGUGGGUAACCUGCCUCACACAGGGGGAUAACAGUUGGAAACGGCUGCUAAUACCGCAUAAGCGCACAGUACCGCAUGGUACAGUGUGAAAAAACUCCGGUGGUGUGAGAUGGACCCGCGUCUGAUUAGCUAGUUGGCAGGGCAACGGACUACCAAGGCGACGAUCAGUAGCCGACCUGAGAGGGUGACCGGCCACAUUGGGACUGAGACACGGCCCAAACUCCUACGGGAGGCAGCAGUGGGGAAUAUUGCACAAUGGGGGAAACCCUGAUGCAGCGACGCCGCGUGAGCGAAGAAGUAUUUCGGUAUGUAAAGCUCUAUCAGCAGGGAAGAAGAAAUGCCGGUACCUGACUAAGAAGCACCGGCUAAAUACGUGCCAGCAGCCGCGGUAAUACGUAUGGUGCAAGCGUUAUCCGGAUUUACUGGGUGUAAAGGGAGCGCAGGCGGAAGGCUAAGUCUGAUGUGAAAGCCCGGGGCUCAACCCCGGUACUGCAUUGGAAACUGGUCAUCUAGAGUGUCGGAGGGGUAAGUGGAAUUCCUAGUGUAGCGGUGAAAUGCGUAGAUAUUAGGAGGAACACCAGUGGCGAAGGCGGCUUACUGGA